UGGGCUGUUGCUCAGUGGUAGAGCGUCUGCUUUGCAGGCAGAAGGUUGCAGGUUCAAUCCCCGGCUUCUCCAGCUGAA